rnacentral:rRNA from 1 species
GAUGAACGCUAGCGGCAGGCUUAAUACAUGCAAGUCGAACGGUAAGUGUAGUAGCAAUAUUAUACGAGAGUGACGUACGGGUGCGUAACACGUAUGCAACCUACCUUGUACAGGAGGAUAGCUCGGGGAACUACGAUUAACCCUCCAUGAGAUCACAGUGUGGCAUCACAUAGUGAUUAAAACUCAGGUGGUACAAGAUGGGCAUGCGUCUGANAG